AUGGAUCACCGCGGGCCGAUGUUGCCCGAUGGCCGCCGGCUGGCGGCCGCGCUCCUCCUCCUCCUGGCGGCCUGUCUCUCGUCUGCCCGGGCCGUCACCAGCGAGGAGGCAUCCUACAUCGCGCAACGCCAGCUGCUGGCCAUGAGCGAGGCCGGGGUGGGCGAGGACGGCGACCUCCCCGCGGACGUGGAGUCGAGGCCUUGCCUGGAGUUCGACGGCAAGGCCGCCACCGCCAACAUGACCUUCCCCAACGACCGCCUCCGCCGCGCCUACAUCGGCCUCCAGGCCUGGCGCAAGGCCUUCUACUCCGACCCCAAGAACUUCACCAGCGACUGGGUGGGCGCCGACGUGUGCUCCUACAACGGCGUGACCUGCGCGGAGGCGCCGGACGACGCCAAGGUCACCGUGGUCGCCGGGAUCGACCUCAACGGCGCCGACAUCGCCGGCUACCUCCCGCCGGAGCUGGGCCUGCUCACCGACCUCGCCUUCUUCCACAUCAACACCAACCGCUUCUGCGGCAUCAUCCCCAAGAGCAUGUCGCGCCUCACCAUCCUCUGGGAGUUCGACGUCAGCAACAACCGCUUCGUCGGGCCCUUCCCUUACGUCUGCCUCGAGAUGCCCACGCUCAAGUACCUCGACAUCCGCUUCAACGAGUUCGAGGGCGAGCUGCCGCCCGCGCUCUUCGACAAGCCCUACGACGCCAUCUUCGUCAACAGCAACCGCUUCGUCGGCCCCAUCCCGGAGACCAUCGGCAACUCCACCGCCUCCGUCGUCGUCUUCGCAAACAACAAGUUCGUCGGAUGCAUCCCCAAGAGCAUCGGCCGCAUGGCCAAGACGCUCGACGAGAUCAUCUUCCUCAACAACACGCUCGAGGGCUGCAUGCCGCUCGAGAUCGGCAUGCUCACCAACACCACCGUCGUCGACGUCAGCGGCAACGGCCUCGUCGGCUCGCUGCCCAAGGAGAUCUCCGGCUGCAGCAAGCUGGAGCAGCUCGACGUGUCCAGGAACGUCCUCACCGGCAUCGUGCACGAGGCCAUCUGCGAGCUCCCCAUGCUCGUCAACUUCAGCUACGCAUCCAACUUCUUCGAGUCCGAGUCCGCGCCCUGCAUGCCCUCCGACAAAUCCGAGGUCAACCUCGACGACGCCAACAACUGCCUCGGCGCGCUCCGCCCCGCGCAGAAGACCACGCUCCAGUGCGCGCCCGUCCUCGCGCGCCCCGUCGACUGCAACAAGCACGUCUGUGCCGGGCCGCACCCGACGACGACGCCCUCGCCGGACAGGAAGCAGGCAUCACCGCCGGCGCUAUCGCCGAUAAUUGGGCCAGUAAUGGAGAUCCCGACGCCGGCACCAGCACCAGCACCGGGACCCGCACCCGAGCCGGCUGUUUUGGGCCCCAUUGUUGGGCCACUUCCACCCAAGGAUGAGUAUGCUGGUGCUCCGCCACCUCCCAGUUCUGGCUGGCUCCCGUUGACCCCUGAGCGCAAGAGGGCACCUCCACCGGAAGAAUACGCGCCUCCGGAAGAAUACACGCCUCCGGUGAAGGCGCUUCCACCAUCGGGGCCGGUUAAGGGGCUUCCUCCACCAGCACCUGAGAAGGUUCUUACACCACCAACGCCGGUUAAGGUGCUUCCGCCACCCGCACCAGAGAAGGUGCUUCCACCACCGGCGCCCGCGAAGGUGCUUCCGCCACCCGCACCAAAGAAGGUGCCUCCACCACCGACGCCUGUGAAGGAGCAUCCGGCACCCGCCCCAGACAAGAUGCCUCCACCACCGGCGCCUGUGAAGGAGCAUCCGGCACCCGCACCAGACAAGGUGCCGCCACCACCGGCGCCUGUGAAGGAGCAUCCGGCACCCGCACCUGACAAGGUGCCUCCACCACCGGCGCCCGUGAAGGUGCUUACGCCACCCACAACCGAGAAGGUGCUUCCACCACCGACGCCCGCGAAGGUGCUUCCGCCGCCCGCGCCGGUGCACUCUCCUCCACCCCCUGUGAAAUCUCCUCCGCCGCCGGCUCCAGUGAGCUCUCCACCCCCUCCGGCGAAGUCUCCACCCCCACCAGCACCGGUCUACUCGCCACCACCACCGGUGAAGUCUCCUCCCCCACCCGCACCAGUGAGCUCUCCGCCACCUCCGGUCAAGUCUCCUCCCCCACCCGCGCCGGUCUACUCUCCACCACCCCCGGUGAAAUCUCCUCCCCCGCCUGCUCCAGUGAGCUCUCCACCACCUCCUGUGAAAUCUCCUCCACCACCUGCACCAGUGAGCUCUCCACCACCUGCACCGAAGAAGUCUCCGCCAACAGAAACACCGGUGAUCCCACCUAAAGAAAAGUCAAUGCCACCACCAACUCCGGCGAAGUUGUCUCCCCCUCCGACCGAGAAGUAUGAACCACCAGCAAAACCUGUUGAAUCAUCACCACCACCGGUGAAGUCAUAUCCGCCAAAAGAACCUACGCCUGAGAAGUCAUCACCACCACCGGUGAAGUCAUAUCCGCCAAAAGAACCUACGCCUGAGAAGUCAUCACCACCUCCGGUGAAGUCCACACCACCGCCAACACCAGUCAGCUCACCGCCACCGGUACCAGUGAAGCCCCCACCGGCUCAAGUGAGCUCACCACCACCAGCGCCAGUUAAGGUACUUCCACCACCCACACCUGAGAAGGCGCUUCCACCACCGGUGCUAGCAAAGCCUCCACCUGCUCCAGUGAGCUCACCACCACCAGCACCUGUGAAGGUGCUUCCACCACCCGCACCAGAGAAGGUGCUUCCACCACCUGUGCCGGUGAAGCCUCCACCAGUUCCAGUGAGCUCACCACCUCCCCCUGUGAAAUCUCCACCACCACCGGCUCCAGUUAGCUCGCCGCCACCUCCAGUCAAGUCUCCUCCUCCACCCGCACCGGUGAGCUCACCACCUCCUCCGGUGAAAUCACCACCACCCCCCGCCCCAGUUAGCUCACCGCCGCCUCCAGUCAAGUCUCCUCCACCACCGGCACCGGUCAGCUCACCGCCACCGGCACCAGUGUUAUUGCCUCCUCCAGCAAAAACCACCCCAGCACCAGCGAAAGAAGAGCCACAGUCACCUCUGGCGGAAUCACUUACACCCCCGAAGUUCGACGAGUUCAUCAUGCCGCCGGUCGUGUCGGCAAAAUACGCAUCACCACCACCACCCCAGUUCCAAGGAUAUUAA
rnacentral:rRNA from 1 species